GGGUGGUAAUGCCGGAUGCUCCAGCUGAUCGCAUGAUCUUCUGGGAAAGCCUUUGCGGCAUGGGAUGGGGUCGCGUCCUAUCAGCUUGAUGGCGGGGUAACGGCCCACCAUGGCUUCGACGGGUAGCCGGCCUGAGAGGGCGACCGGCCACAUUGGGACUGAGAUACGGCCCAGACUCCUACGGGAGGCAGCAGUGGGGAAUAUUGCACAAUGGGCGCAAGCCUGAUGCAGCGACGCCGCGUGAGGGAUGGAGGCCUUCGGGUUGUAAACCUCUUUUGUUAGGGAGCAAGGCAUUUUGUGUUGAGUGUACCUUUCGAAUAAGCACCGGCUAACUACGUGCCAGCAGCCGCGGUAAUACGUAGGGUGCAAGCGUUAUCCGGAAUUAUUGGGCGUAAAGGGCUCGUAGGCGGUUCGUCGCGUCCGGUGUGAAAGUCCAUCGCUUAACGGUGGAUCCGCGCCGGGUACGGGCGGGCUUGAGUGCGGUAGGGGAGACUGGAAUUCCCGGUGUAACGGUGGAAUGUGUAGAUAU
rnacentral:rRNA from 1 species